AAGCUGGUAUGCUAAUAUCAGUGGAGCCGUUGGUGGGAUACCACCCUUUCUACAGCGGAAUUCUAACUGGAGGCCAUACAACUGGUCACAGGACAUUGUCAGGCGGGCAGUUUGACUGGGGCGGUCGCCUCCCAAACAGUAACGGAGGCGCUCAAAGGUUCCCUCAGUGCGGAUGGAAAUCGCACGAAGAGUGUAAAGGCAGAAGGGAGCUUAACUGCGAGACAAACAAGUCGAGCAGGUACGAAAGUAGGACUUAGUGAUCCGGCGGUAUAGUGUGGAAUUGCCGUCGCUCAACGGAUAAAAGUUACCCCGGGGAUAACAGGCUUAUCUCCCCCAAGAGUUCACAUCGACGGGGAGGUUUGGCACCUCGAUGUCGGCUCAUCGCAUCCUGGAGCUGAAGCAGGUUCCAAGGGUUGGGCUGUUCGCCCAUUAAAGCGGUACGCGAGCUGGGUUCAGAACGUCGUGAGACAGUUCGGUCCCUAUCCGUCGCAGGCGGAGGAUACUUGAGGAGAGCUGUCCCUAGUACGAGAGGACCGGGAUGGACACACCGAUGGUGAAUCAGUUGUUCCACCAGGAGCAUAGCUGAGUAGCUAAGUGUGGGAAAGAUAAACGCUGAAAGCAUCUAAGCGUGAAACAAACUCCAAGAUAAGGUAUCCCACUCUGUUAAAGAGUUAAGAUCCCUUAAAGAUGAUAAGGUAGAUAGGCCGGAGGUGUAAAUGUAGUAAUACACUGAGCUGACCGGUACUAAUAGAUCGAGGGCUUAAUCAU
rnacentral:rRNA from 1 species